GAGAGUUGCAUUUUUCCUGCAGAUUCCACCGACUGGUCUCCUCUGAGAUACACCAUGUGGGCUCUGCGCAUCUCAUUAUUGAUCCUCAUGAUGGUCAUCACGGCUCUGAUCAUCAGAGGCAGAGGAAGCAGCAGGCAGCUCAGAAACAACAGAGUUCGUUACAUCAAGACUGAUGAUGGUGGAGCAGUAAACUAUGAAAAUGUAGA